CAGACGAUCGGGCAGAGGAGCGAGAGAAUAUACCUAUUCAAACCCCCGCUACAGACAAUCAGGCGGAGGAGUGAGAGAAUAUACCUAUUCAAACCCCCGCUACAGACAAUCGGGCGGAGGAGUGAGAGAAUAUACCAACCGAUACAGAAA